rnacentral:tRNA from 1 species
AUUUAAAUAGUUUAUUUAAAAUAUUGAUUUGUGGAAUCAAAGAUAUGAUUAUCAUUUUAAAUA